rnacentral:lncRNA from 1 species
AGUACCUGACUUUGCAGAUAAGCAGAGUCAGGGCAGUGCCUUGGAGCAUUCAUCUCUGGAGUGAAGCUGUUAUCAUCAUCUAUUUAAGAAAAAAAAAUGGUGAUUUCAAGAUGGCUCAGGAGUUGAGUCACUUAAUUGCUGCCAAAUCAUUGGCAUUUGGGAGCCUGACAGCAAUGAGAGGUGGUUAGCCACUCUUUGUAAAUAUAAACCCCUGCACAUGGCAUCUCUAGUUCGCUCCCAUUCCCUUACUCUGGAGGAGCUGAACUGCUGCAGACUGAUGCAUUUGCACUUUUGUGAUGCCCACUAUGUCUCUGAUCUUAAGGGACACUUUGAGGGAUGCUGUCAUGGCGCUGCUAUGGAAGGUCCCCUUUCUGAUUCUUGUUUCCCAGUUCACCCAGAGGCUGGAGAUACCCAGAGGUUAUGGAACAUGGCUGAGGAUGAUCCUCAAGAAGCCUGUCCAGCAGGUAUGCCUGUGUCUGGAUGAGAUAGAGAGCAAUUUACCGAUUUCAUCCACACGAUGGAUGUGGAGGAGAAGCCAUAGAGGAUGAUACCCAACCAGAAACACGCUGCAGUUUUGUUGUGAAUAUCCAGGAAGUCUCUGCAGUGCAGAUGUGACAGCAACAGCAAAACUUAUUUCAAGGUCCCAUCCCAUGAAGAGGCUGUGAGUAUCAGCAACCACACAAAAGAACUUGCAGAGGGGGGUGGGGAAGUGUCUUUAAAAUGACAAACAUCAUCGUCUGUCCUGGUGGAAUGUGGUAACUAUUUGUGGAUCCCACUGCCUAAACCCCAUCAAAGUUAGAGCGUAGCACUGCUAUCUAUUGUUAUUCUGUGUGAUGGUUUGUUUCUUUUUUUUUCCCCCCUAAAUGUUUCCAGCAUGUUGGCUGAUAGUACCAAAACCCUGCAAUUCUUAGAAAGUGUUGCUUUGGUUUGUUAAGCAGAGUCAUGAAUACAAGUAUUCCUGACUUCUGAGACUGAAGGAUGUGUAUGAGUAGAUGAAGCACAAUAGGAUUAUUAUAAUCCUUGUUACCAGAGGAACCAGCCUGAGUUUCACCUGCCUGCUCCUCGGGUCCUUUGUAACCUGGUAGAAUGGCUUUGUUGGGAAUGAAGAGCAUCAGGAUCUGAGAUGCCUAAGAGCUGACAUACUUAGAGUUGCUCUGUUUGGGGUGGCAUCUCUUUGUAAGUGUGGUGGUUACCUUACUUUUUCACUUCAUGUCACUGUGGGGAACAGAUCAACCAAUGGUUCCGUUAGGCUGGAAAAAUAAGAAAGUUACCAACAGAGAUGUUGAGGAGUAGCCUUUAAACACAAGUAGUGGUAAUAAUAUCUGAACUCUUUUUAGAACAUAGAUCAAUUAAUUAAUGAGAUACCAUGCCCAGGAUCUCUAGUGAUCUUAAUUAGUGUUAAUAGCUUUACAAAAGAUUUUAAAUCUGAUAAGCAUUGAAGGCAAUUUCACUAUAUAGGUCUUGGAUCUGUGUUGUCUUCUAGUAUAGCAGCAGUAUAAAUAAACUGAAUUGUGCUUCUGGAAAAGAAGAAUUG